rnacentral:rRNA from 1 species
GCAGCUCAGAUUUGAAAUCCGGCUCCGGCCCGAGUUGUAAUCUGGAGAGGAUGCUUUGGCGACGGCCCCGGUCCAAGUUCCCUGGGACGGGACGCCGCGGAGGGUGAGAGUCCCGUACGCGGCCGGCGCGCCGCCGCCGUGCAAAGCUCCUUCGACGAGUCGAGUUGUUUGGGAAUGCAGCUCCAAGCGGGAGGUAUAUUCCUUCUAAAGCUAAAUACCGGCCGGAGACCGAUAGCGCACAAGUAGAGUGAUCGAAAGAUGAAAAGCACUUUGGAAAGAGGGUUAAAGAGUACGUGAAAUUGUUGAAAGGGAAGCGUUUGCGGCCAGACUUGACGGCGGUUGCUCGGCCGGGCCUCUUUGCCCGGUGCACUCUUCCGCCGUCAGGCCAGCAUCGGUCCGGGCGGUCGGACAAGGGCCGGGGGAACGUGGCUCCUCGGAGUGUUAUAGCCCCCGGCGUGAUGCGACCAGCUCCGGACCGAGGAAGGCGUCCGCUAGGAUGCUGGCGUAAUGGCAGCCAACGGCCCGUCUUGAAACACGGACCAAGGAGUCUAGCACACGUGCGAGUGUCCGGGUGUCAAACCCGCACGCGCAAUGAAAGUGAACGGAGGUGGGAAGCUUCUGCGCACCAUCGACCGAUCCCGAUGUCUUCGGAAGGAUUUGAGUGGGAGCACGUGCGCUGGGACCCGAAAGAUGAUGAACUAUGCCUAGAUAGACCGAAGCCGCCCGAAAGGGCGGUGGAAGGUCGCAGCGGUUCUGACGUGCAAAUCGAUCGUCAAAUCUGGGUAUAGGGGCGAAAGACUAAUCGAAUCAU